rnacentral:lncRNA from 1 species
UCAGAUAGAAAGUCACUUAAGACUCCCUAAACAGAAGGAGUCUUCGCGUCCCUUCGCGCGUCCAGAAAAAACUGUCGCGCGCACAGCAAAGCUUCAAGCAAUUUUUUUAUGCACAAUCUAAUAGAUUUUUCAUACUUCAAAAGGUGUGCUAGGUGGCUCAUCAUCUGAUCUACUUGCCAUAAAAAAUAGAAGCCCAAAACAGAAGGAUUCUUAGUCCUUCUCCACGCCAC